UACGGAGGGUGCGAGCGUUGUCCGGAAUCAUUGGGCGUAAAGGGCGCGUAGGUGGCCACUUCAAGCGUGCGGUGAAAGUCGGGGGCUCAACCCCUGAUCGGCCGUGCGAACUGGGGGGCUGGAGCACUGUAGAGGCAGGCGGAAUUCCGGGUGUAGCGGUGGAAUGCGUAGAGAUCCGGAAGAACGACCGGUGGCGAAGGCGGCCUGCUGGGCAGUUUUGCUGACACUGAGGCGCGACAGCGGUGGGGAGCAAACAGG
rnacentral:rRNA from 1 species